GGCUGAUGGAUGGCCAUCGCCGACUACCCUUCCUUGUGAACGCCACAGCAAUGAGACCCAGCUAGAAAAUGGAGACCUCUUUGAGCUAUUUCUUGCCUUGCUGGGGAUUGAACCCAAGCCAUUUUAUAUAGUAGGUGGACUAGGGCAUUAGGUUGAUUAAGAGUCUUCAGGAUCUUGUAACACAGAAGAAUGUCACUGGAUGGACCAACACCCAACUGGC